rnacentral:rRNA from 1 species
ACUCAAAGGAAUUGACGGGGCCCGCACAAGCGGAGACAUGUGUUAAUUCGAUGAUACGCGAGAACCUUACCCGGGCUUGAACUGCAGGAGAACGAUACAGAGAUGUUGAGUCCUUCGGACUCCUGUGGAGUGCUGCAUGUGUCGUCAGCUCGUGCCGUGAGGUGUCGGCUUAAGUGCCAUAACGAGCGCAACCCUUUUCGUCAGUUGCCAUCAGGUGAUGCUGGGCACUCUGGCGAUACUGCCACCGUAAGGUGUGAGGAAGGUGGGGAUGACGUCAAAUCAGCACGGCCCUUACGUCCGGGGCUACACACGUGUUACAAUGGUGACAACAAAGAGGAGCGAGACCGUAAGGUGGAGCGGAUCUCAAAAAAGUCAUCCCAGUUCGGAUUGUGGGCUGCAACCCGCCCACAUGAAGUUGGAGUUGCUAGUAAUCGCGGAUCAGCAUGCCGCGGUGAAUACGUUCCCGGGCCUUGUACACACCGCCCGUCACACCAUGGGAGUUGGGAGCACCCGAAGUCAGUGAGGUAACCGCAAGGAGCCAGCUGCCGAAGGUGAGACCGAUGACUGGGGUG